rnacentral:rRNA from 1 species
UGACAGUACUCCUACGGGAGGCAGCAGUGAGGAAUAUUGGUCAAUGGAGGGAACUCUGAACCAGCCAUCCCGCGUGUAGGAAGACGGCCUUAUGGGUUGUAAACUACUUUUAUACAGGAAGAAACGUACCCUCGUGAGGGUGCCUGACGGUACUGUAGGAAUAAGCACCGGCUAACUCCGUGCCAGCAGCCGCGGUAAUACGGAGGGUGCGAGCGUUAUCCGGAUUUAUUGGGUUUAAAGGGUCCGUAGGCGGAUUAAUAAGUCAGUGGUGAAAUCCCAUCGCUUAACGAUGGAACUGCCAUUGAUACUGUUAGUCUUGAAUGAGGGUGCAGUGGUUGGAAUGUGUAGUGUAGCGGUGAAAUGCAUAGAUAUUACACAGAACACCGAUUGCGAAGGCAGAUCACUAACCCUAAAUUGACGCUGAGGGACGAAAGCGUGGGGAGCGAACAGGAUUAGAUACCCUGGUAG